GGCUCAGAUUGAACGCUGGCGGCAUGCCUUACACAUGCAAGUCGAACGGUAACGGGCCUUCGGGUGCCGACGAGUGGCGAACGGGUGAGUAAUGUAUCGGAACGUACCUUUCAGUGGGGGAUAACGUAGCGAAAGUUACGCUAAUACCGCAUAUUCUGUGAGCAGGAAAGCAGGGGAUCGCAAGACCUUGCGCUGAUUGAGCGGCCGAUAUCAGAUUAGUUAGUUGGUGAGGUAAAGGCUCACCAAGGCGACGAUCUGUAGCGGGUCUGAGAGGAUGAUCCGCCACACUGGAACUGAGACACGGUCCAGACUCCUACGGGAGGCAGCAGUGGGGAAUUUUGGACAAUGGGCGCAAGCCUGAUCCAGCAAUGCCGCGUGAGUGAAGAAGGCCUUCGGGUUGUAAAGCUCUUUCAGUUGAGAAGAAAAAGUCGUGACUAAUAAUCAUGAUUCAUGACGGUAUCAACAGAAGAAGCACCGGCUAACUACGUG
rnacentral:rRNA from 1 species